rnacentral:tRNA from 1 species
GCCCGGGUGGCGGAAUUGGUAGACGCGCUAGGUUCAGGGUCUAGUGUCCUUUGGGACGUGCUGGUUCGACUCCAGUCUCGGGCA